AGAUAGAAUGCAGACUGCACAUGAGCAAGGCACUCUUGUUCUGCUCCAGAAUUUGGAUCCAGCAUACACUUCAGCGCAAGUGGAGGUAAUAGUAUGGCAUGGUAUUAAGGAAAGCUGCACGGCUAAGAUGAUUCAGCGGACCGCAAAUUCUAGUCCUCACUAUGCUCUUGUGAUUCUCAAAACUAGUGAAGCAGCACAAAAGAUUGUUAGAGAAUUGGAUGAGGGCUGCCUAUUGUUGUCAAAUGGAAGGUUUGUAGUUGGAUGAUAUUCUAGCACAGGCUCUAUAGCGUACAUCAUUUUGCAAUUUACUCUCGUAUAUCUUGUUUUAUUUCUCCUUGUUUAUCUGUUCCACUCCCCAUUAAAUAACUUAGAACCUACCUUUUUUUGGUCAUUUAACCAUCGAGAAACUUCGGCACCAAAAUGCACGGGAAAUGGCACACACGCACCAACAAGGCAACAAGGCUCCUUACAAGCAUUGAUACGUAUAAGAGAAAUACAGGCGCAUAAAGUUGUUAUUGUUUGUUUCUGUUUAAAUUUUCUUCUCAUCUACAUAUUUUUAUAUUUUAUUUUCGUAUCCAGAGCAGAAAGAAGCCAUAUCAACUUCACAUUGUUCCCAACCCAACAUUAUUGAAUACGAUAUGACCAUGGAAUGGUGUCUACAACAAGAAGGAUCAGAUCCUUUUUGGAAGAACUUGUAUAAGCAACAAGGAAAGGAGUUGAGACAACUCAAAGCUAAACUUAAACGCAAAGAUGCACUUAAGGCGAAAUAAGCGUUGUGGCUGGGUGAACUUGCUCCCAUUGUUUUAUCAUGGAAGUACUUAUAUGGCUGGGCCGUAAUUCAGGGAUUGGGCAAUUUCAUGGUUGCGCGGGUACAAGUAUUUUGUUCAGGACUGGUUUCCAGGUGUUGUGAAUCUCACCCGAGUCUUUGCCAGUAGGAAAUAACUGGAUGAUAUGCUUCAUAUGAGCUCCAUCACCGAAGAAAAAUGUAAAUUCCGUAGUAUCAUCUUCAGAUAGGUGAAUGGCCAUUUGUACAGUUAUGAUUUAGGUAAACAAUUGUUUUUUCAUCUUAGUCGAAAUUAACAGGCCGUGUUCAGUGUGUGUACAGUUAUGAUUUAGGUUAAACAAGUUUUUUUCAUCUCAGUCGAAAUUAACAGGCCAAAAU